GCAAACUUGGUCAUUUAGAGGAAGUAAAAGUCGUAACAAGGUUUCCGUAGGUGAACCUGCGGAAGGAUCAUUAACGAGUUUUUAAUUGUUAGAUUAGAGUUGAGCUGGUUAACUUUGUUAACAUCAGUGCUCGCUUUAAUUGACAAGUCCACUCAUCAUUUAACACUUGUGAACUUAUUCAUUAUAAACAUUAUCAUUUGUUAUUGGAACGUUUGAAUUAUAACAAGUUAAUACAACUUUCAACAACGGAUCUCUUGGUUCUCGCAUCGAUGAAGAACGCAGC
rnacentral:misc_RNA from 1 species